GCAGCACUGUUAUUGGAGAAAGAGAGCCUUAUUGGAGGGGUUUCGAUACUCCAAUUUUCAAAUUGAAGGCAUGCAUUUGUGUAAGGGGAUGUUGGGAAGCUGUUCAUACCUUUCUUGUGUUGAAAAACCAGGGAGUGAGCUUUGGAAGGGUUGGGAGUAACCUUGACUUCAUCCUCUAAUGAUUAGCAUCUUGUUUGAACCAAUUUGGAGUUUGAAUCACCUUCACAUGGGAAUUUCAUGGUGAUCAAGUGAGUUUUCUGGUGGAUUAGGAUCUUGGUAACAUACUUUAGAGUAUUUUGGUAUUCCUCAAUGCCUUGAUUACCCCGUGGAUCAGCCGAAUUAGCCACAGCAGCCUCAAGAAAUCAGCUUCAGCGACAACUACAACAGCAGCCUUGGAGC